ACUUUGUGGUUCAUGACUGGGGUGAAGUCGUAACAAGGUAGCCCUAGGGGAACCUGGGGCUGGAUCACCUCCUUA
rnacentral:rRNA from 3 species